UGGGGAAUAUUGGACAAUGGGCGAAAGCCUGAUCCAGCCAUGCCGCGUGUGUGAAGAAGGUCUUCGGAUUGUAAAGCACUUUAAGUUGGGAGGAAGGGCAGUAAGCGAAUACCUUGCUGUUUUGACGUUACCGACAGAAUAAGCACCGGCUAACUCUGUGCCAGCAGCCGCGGUAAUACAGAGGGUGCAAGCGUUAAUCGGAAUUACUGGGCGUAAAGCGCGCGUAGGUGGUUCGUUAAGUUGAAUGUGAAAGCCCCGGGCUCAACCUGGGAACUGCAUCCAAAACUGGCGAGCUAGAGUAGGGCAGGGGGUGGUGGAAUUUCCUGUGUAGCGGUGAAAUGCGUAGAUAUAGGAAGGAACACCAGUGGCGAAGGCGACCACCUGGGCUCAUACUGACACUGAGGUGCGAAAGCGUGGGGAGCAAACAGG
rnacentral:rRNA from 1 species